UCAUCAUAGACAACCUUUCAGUGGAGAGGAAUCACGUUCUGGUUCGGGUUAGUGCGGUGGGCGGUCCGUCUGAGAGGAAGCUUCCUCCCCGAGCACUGCAAGAGGGUGAGGACCCUUACCCCUGGCCCAUGUUUUCAAGCUCCCCUCUACCCACCUGCUACACUUUGGACCCACCAAAGAUCCACCAUGACUCCCAGGAUUCUGAGAUGAGUUCAUUUCUGGCAUCUUUUAAAGACUCCAAGAAUGAGGCGAUCUGGAUGGAGGACUGCCGGAGACAGUAUUUCAAAAUGAUGACCUCCAAACCCAACGUCCUCACUGGAAAGGGUGAG